AUGGCGAGGAGCUCCAGUGAAAGCACUGCCUUGACAAUGGUCAGGCCGACGACGGCGGCGCUACUAGCGUCGUCUACCUUCUUGGAGGCAUCGUUGUGGAGCUCCGUCAACAUCAUGACGGAUUUGGCUCUCCGGAUGAAAAUGUUUGCCCCGGUCUUCCGAAGCGGGCGGGUGGCGGCGUCUACGUCUAGACCUCCUUGGAGGCGUCAUUUGGGAGAGACUGUUCCGAGCGAUCUCUUCACCACCAAGGUUAGUGGAUGUUGGGGCAGCGGCCCCGAAUCUAUGCGCCGAGACGGCGGUCUCGGAAACCAAUGUGGUGACAACUCCAUGAGGUAG
rnacentral:rRNA from 1 species